rnacentral:lncRNA from 1 species
CCCGGUGCGUCCACAGCCCGGGAGGGGAGGCGGCCGCUGCGGCUCCCGCACGCAGACUGCUUGCGGCCCGGGUCUCGCGCUCCCUCGCGAGCCCCGCGGCCCCUACCCCGGGCCCAUCUCCGUAUACUGUCAGAAAAAUAAAUAAAGGAAAGAGGAGCCUGGGCAGGCGGUCGGGAUCUCUUCCCUCCCUCCGCGCCCGCCCUCCCUCUGUCCUUAAGGAAAUGCUACCAGACACCCCCCACCAGACACGCUCAGCCUUGGCGAGGAGCGGCCGCCGCGGCAGCGAGAACAAGGGCACCAGGGGGGUUUCCUCCUCCUCCUCCUCUCCCUCCUCUUCCUCCUUCUCCUCUCCGUCCUCCUCCUCCUCCUUCUCAGCGGUGACUUUCCAGGUGAAAAGCUGUCUUAGAGGAAGGGCACCAAAUGAAGGUAAAGGUGUAAAGCCCUCAGGCCUCAGAGAACCUGCACUUUUAAAGGUGGAGUCUUUGAAUUUUUAAAAAGACAAUGGUAAUGAGAUCCACUUGAAAAACUAAGUGAACUGAUUUGGUUGGAACACUCUUUUACCAAUUCAUUAACAGUCAACUGCUGGGUAAGUUG